AGUUGAGCUCAUAACGAUAUCGAAUUUUACAAGCCAAAUUUUCUUUCAUUAAAUCUUUUGUGUUUGGACUUGCCUAUAAAAGAAGGAUAAAGUCCAAAUCAAAUUAUAAUAUUUGGGCACUAUUUUUCUGUUCAUAAAAAGCAGCCCAAAGAGAUUUUUAUUCACCACAAUCCCACUUCUUUUCCGCUACAAACGUGAUUCUGUUCCACUAUCUACACUUUUAAAUCCCACAAUGAAUCCCAACAAUCUUGCUAUCACAUAAUCUACUCCAUUCACUUUUCUUGAUUUCAUCAAUGGCGGCCGAUUCAUCAUCUUCCGAUGCCAAAGUCCACAUAAUUUACACAGAACAGCAGGGAUGGACGACGGCACUACUCGGCUACCCGGCGAAUCUCGAACAACAGCAACGGUGCAGAGGUGUAGCGAGAGAGAAUGUUAUUCUUGAAUUGUAGGCGGAAUCUGGUGGAGAGAUUAUCGGACUCCAAAUGACAGGCGCUGUGUUUUGAGAGAGAUUGGAUGGAGGGAGAAGAGAUGACGACGGAGGGGUCCACGGGCUCAGCGAUGGCGGAUAACAGCCGGUGAAUACGGAGCCGAAGGCUGUCCGGUUUGGCAGCAGCUGCAGCGACUCACGGCGGCGCUGCGAUGCGAGAGAACAGAGACGGGGCUUUAGGGUUUAGGGUAUACUCCCUAAACUCCGUUCAAGGUUGAGCGGUGACGAGCGCGGUGGGUGUUGAGCAUGAAAGUGAAAAAGGUAGUAAAUAAAAUUAUCUGAAUAUAUUAUGUCUUCAUACAUAAUAGUAUUCUACUCUCGAAUGCUUCCGCUGAAUGUUGUUUCUUUUGAGUUUAUGUAUUGUUGGGAUAUAAUCCCUUUGAGUUGUCAAUUGUUGAGGAUACUCUGAUUUUUAUUUAAGCUAUUCUCAUUUGUUUCGA